CCUACGGAGGGCAGCAGUGGGGAAUAUUGGACAAUGGGGGGAACCCUGAUCCAGCGACGCCGCGUGAGUGAAGAAGUAUUUCGGUAUGUAAAGCUCUAUCAGCAGGGAAGAAAAUGACGGUACCUGAUUAAGAAGCUCCGGCUAACUACGGGCCAGCAGCCGCGGUAAUAAGUAGGGGGCAAGCGUUAUCCGGAUUUACUGGGGGUAAAGGGAGCGUAGUCGGCAGCACGAGGCUGGAGUGAAAUGCCGGGGCUUAACCCCGGAACUGCGUUGGAAACUGUGCAGCUAGAGUGCAGGAGAGGUAAGUGGAAUUCCUAGUGUAGCGGUGAAAUGCGUAGAUAUUAGGAAGAACACCAGUGGCGAAGGCGGCUUACUGGACUGUAACUGACGUUGAGGCUCGAAAGCGUGGGGAGCAAACAGGAUUAGAUACCCGUGUAGUC
rnacentral:rRNA from 1 species